GUAGAACAGGAUGAGACAGGGAGGAACAGAGAGAGUAGAACAGGAUGAGACAGGGAGGAACAGAGAGAGUAGAACAGGAUGAGACAGGGAGGAACAGAGAGAGUAGAACAGGAUGAGACAGGGAGGAACAGAGAGAGAGUAGAACAGGAUGAGACAGGGAGGAACAGAGAGAGAGUAGAACAGGAUGAGACAGGGAGGAACAGAGAGAGAGUAGAACAGGAUGAGACAGGGAGGAACAGAGAGAGUAGAACAGGAUGAGACAGGGAGGAACAGAGAGAGAGUAGAACAGGAUGAGACAGGGAGGAACAGAGAGAGAGUAGAACAGGAUGAGACAGGGAGGAACAGAGAGAGGUAGAACAGGAUGAGACAGGGAGGAACAGAGAGAGAGUAGAACAGGAUGAGACAGGGAGGAACAGAGAGAGUAGAACAGGAUGAGACAGGGAGGAACAGAGAGAGUAGAACAGGAUGAGACAGGGAGGAACAGAGAGAGAUAGAACAGGAUGAGACAGGGAGGAACAGAGAGAGUAGAACAGGAUGAGACAGGGAGGAACAGAGAGAGUAGAACAGGAUGAGACAGGGAGGAACAGAGAGAGUAGAACAGGAUGAGACAGGGAGGAACAGAGAGAGAGUAGAACAGGAUGAGACAGGGAGGAACAGAGAGAGUAGAACAGGAUGAGACAGGGAGGAACAGAGAGAGUAGAACAGGAUGAGACAGGGAGGAACAGAGAGAGAGUAGAACAGGAUGAGACAGGGAGGAACAGAGAGAGUAGAACAGGAUGAGACAGGGAGGAACAGAGAGAGAGUAGAACAGGAUGAGACAGGGAGGAACAGAGAGAGAGUAGAACAGGAUGAGACAGGGAGGAACAGAGAGAGAGUAGAACAGGAUGAGACAGGGAGGAACAGAGAGAGAGUAGAACAGGAUGAGACAGGGAGGAACAGAGAGAGUAGAACAGGAUGAGACAGGGAGGAACAGAGAGAGAGUAGAACAGGAUGAGACAGGGAGGAACAGAGAGAGUAGAACAGGAUGAGACA
rnacentral:lncRNA from 1 species